UAUCACUAAGCGGAGGAAAAGAAACUAACAAGGAUUCCCUCAGUAACGGCGAGUGAAGCGGGAAGAGCCCAGCACCGAAUCCCGCAGCCUUGCGCUGCCGGGACCUGUGGUGUCGGGGACGCCAACCGUCGUCGGGUCCUAUUCGCGCGCCCAAGUCCUCCUGAUCGGGGCCUCUCCCACGGUGGGUGUCAGGCCUUUAGCGGCGCGGGACUCGUCGACUCCGAGCGUCUCGAGAGUCGGGUUGUUUGAGAAUGCAGCCCAAAGCGGGUGGUAAACUCC
rnacentral:rRNA from 1 species